rnacentral:rRNA from 1 species
UGGGGAAUAUUGCACAAUGGGCGCAAGCCUGAUGCAGCCAUGCCGCGUGUGUGAAGAAGGCCUUCGGGUUGUAAAGCACUUUCAGCGGGGAGGAAGGCGUUAAGGUUAAUAACCUUGGCGAUUGACGUUACCCGCAGAAGAAGCACCGGCUAACUCCGUGCCAGCAGCCGCGGUAAUACGGAGGGUGCAAGCGUUAAUCGGAAUUACUGGGCGUAAAGCGCACGCAGGCGGUCUGUCAAGUCGGAUGUGAAAUCCCCGGGCUUAACCUGGGAACUGCAUUCGAAACUGGCAGGCUAGAGUCUUGUAGAGGGGGGUAGAAUUCCAGGUGUAGCGGUGAAAUGCGUAGAGAUCUGGGGGAAUACCGGUGGCGAAGGCGGCCCCCUGGACAAAGACUGACGCUCAGGUGCGAAAGCGUGGGGAGCAAACAGG